UACAGAGAGGGCAAGCGUUAUUCGGAAUUAUUGGGCGUAAAGGGCGCGUAGGCGGCCCGCUAAGUCGAACGUGAAAUCCCCAGGCUCAACCUGGGAACUGCGUCCGAUACUGGCAGGCUUGAAUCCGGGAGAGGGAUGUGGAAUUCCAGGUGUAGCGGUGAAAUGCGUAGAUAUCUGGAGGAACACCGGUGGCGAAGGCGGCAUCCUGGACCGGUAUUGACGCUGAGGCGCGAAAGCUAGGGGAGCAAACGGG
rnacentral:rRNA from 1 species